rfam:Rattus norvegicus chromosome 1, whole genome shotgun sequence.
GGGGAUUUAGCUCAGGGUAGAGCGCUUGCCUAGCAAGCACAAGGCCCUGGGUUCGGUCCCCAGCUCCG